UGGUUCUGGCAUCGAUGAAGAACGCAGCGAAAUGCGAUAAGUAAUGUGAAUUGCAGAAUUCAGUGAAUCAUCGAAUCUUUGAACGCACAUUGCGCCCGCCAGCACUCUGGCGGGCAUGCCUGUUCGAGCGUCAUUUCAACCCUCGAGCCCCCUGUGGGUUCGGUGCUGGGGGACGGUUCACUGUAGCCGCCCCCGAAAUGUAUUGGCGGUCUCGCUGCAGCCUCCUCUGCGUAGUAGAAACACCUCGCUCUGGAACGCGGCGCGGCCAUGCCGUAAAACACCCAACUUCUGAAAGGUUGACCUCGGAUCAGGUAGGAAUACCCGCUGA
rnacentral:misc_RNA from 1 species